GAGUGACCAUGUUGGAAUAGUCCUGGAAAAGGACUAAUGCUACAUGAACCACCCAGAAACCCAGGGGCUGUGGUUGGUGAUCAUGGGUUGACAUCUGAAGACCUUAAACCUGGUCGUGAACACCCUCAGGAGUGGAACACCCACAACCUCUCUGGGCAGCCUAUUCCACCACCUCACUGCUCUCCAUCAGUAAUAGGCUUUAAUUUAGCACAUUGUUCACAGAAUCACAGAGUUGUGUAAGGGACCUACAGAGAAUCAUAUCUUCCCUGUUAUUUCCCUGUUAGCAAGGAAAUCCUUCCCUCAGCUAACCUCUCUGUGACACUGCAUGGAACCACAUAACAGAGAAACCCCAGCUGGGUCCACAGUGGUGGUGGUAUUCUGAGACAUAGAAAGCAAACUUCUAGCAUUUUUGUGUGCUGAAUGUUCUUUCCAGUUGCUUCAUUACCCUUUGAAGAGGUCCAUUACUCAAAGAGCAGAACUCUCUGGGCACUGUGCACGUGUUGUAGGAGAAAGAGCAUUGCUGUUGAUAAUAUCUUUAGCCCCUGUACCCAGCAAAGGUUUCCUCCAAAGCCUGUGAGCUCUGGCACCAGUGGGGACCAUGGUUCUGGUACCCCCAUAGCACCACAGACUACCCUACCCACACCUCUGGGAUGCCACACUCUUGGGGCCAUUAAUUUAGUGUGACCUUAGGUAAUGUAAUAGGUACUGCAGAUGCUGAAGAUACACUGAGAUGCAUGAAAGGCUGUUAAUGGGCACUAUGACCAUAGUUUGUCCCAAAGACAACAGAAGACCCUUCCUAGUCAUUGGAGCAAUGAGAACAGCGUUCUAGUUGGAAUAAAAAUGCAUGAAAGUUGAAAAGAGCAUAAGAGGAACACAAAUGACAGAGGAUAAUAUGCAUGACUUGUAAAGGACAAUUUCCCUUGUACUUCUGUGCACAAUUAGUAUUACCAAAUUGAUCUGUAUUACAGCUAGCUGCAGAGGUGAAGAUAUCUGAUGGAUGUUGUCAUGCUGAGAUGCUGCUGCUUCCAGUCAUGGAAGAGUGCAAACCCAAGAGCAUUCACAUUUUCAUGAAGACUUGAAUGCAGCAGUUCCAGAUUUUCAAGCUUCCUUUCUAAACCUACAGCAGCACUGCAUCUACUGAUGGGUGGAAGAACAGUGAGCCCUUGGAGAGUCGUUGCAAUUAUCCUUCUCCAGUUAUCCUGGCCCAGCACCAAUGUUCUUGCUUCUGCUGGAGGUGUGAAUAUGACUGUCAGGGAAAUGGACAGCCAGAAGGUAACUGGAAUAUACAUGCUUGAGAGCCAAGGCGUAUCCUUCUAGAAGGCCUGGAAUGUCUCUAGCACCAUUGAUGACAUGACCAUAAAACCAGUGAGAGGAGACAGGAACUACCAUGCACCUCUACAUUAUUUCAUAAUGAUUGGCUCCAAGCAAAGCCUUCCCUUGCAGAGACCUAAGUGCCUGUGCCCACUGGAAGAAAACUUGGCAGGAAACAUAAGUGGAAAAUUCUUAUUAGCACCUUUCUUUCCAUCUGAAUUUUCCUGACAGCCCUUAAAUCUUUGGGGGAAGCUGUAAACUUUGUAAUGAUCUUCUCAAUAGUAGCUAAAACUUUGCAUAUGCUGUUAUCAUAUUCUAUGUAGUAUUUCUGAAAAAAUGGUUUCUGGUCACACCAACACAGGGGAAGAAAUAUUUAUAUGUGGAUGUAAUUUCCCUUUCAUUCUAGAUGAAAUAAGGUUCCAGGGGUAUGAAAUUUUUAAUUAUUUUAAAUUCUUCCAGGGAACAUUUUAGAGGGGAAUGACUUUGUCUGUUGACAGUUCUAAGCUGUGAGAUGUCUUUACUGUCUUACAGUGUAUUAAUAAUUUUUUUCUUUCAAAGCCAAAGUUAACGCUAAUUGCCUGAAACUAACCUUCAAUUCAGAGAGCAUUGUCUCUUCUGCUCGGAUUUGCCUGAUUAAAUUUCUUUUAAAAACUCAAAUAUCGCUCUCCUUUCUCUUGUUAUCAUUCUCAAUAAAGCUUCAGAUUGUGGUUUGUACAAGGACCUUUUAUAGCCUUCACAGAAGGUAUAAUAUAAUUAUUACCAAUAUUUUCCUCUUACUUGGUCAUCUGCAAUCUGUCUUGGCUGCAUGUGC
ensembl:lncRNA